rnacentral:antisense_RNA from 1 species
AGGCUCAGGUAUGUCUUUAUUAGCAGCUAUGAGAAUGAAUUGGAGUGGCAUGAAGCAUGAGAUAAGCAGACCACUUACAAGACGGUUGCAAUUGUAAAGCAUAGGAUGACAGGACUGGAUUAAGGUUCUUGAGGAUACAAUCAACCAAGGUACACUUUAAAUUAAAGCAGAUAUGUGGAUGAAACAGGAAAAAUACAAGGAUAUUCAAUAUCAACAUUUCCAUUAAGAAUUGUACCGGGGCAUCUGGCCAACAGAAUUCAGAGCCCCAGCCUGUUCAUAAAAAAAAUCAGAUGAAUUUUGUCUGCGAAACAUUCUGCAAAAAUAUCUGACCAGUAAAUAAUCCUCUAAAUAGCCACAGCAAGGAAAGUCUGAGAAAGUGUCACAGCCAAGAGGACCCUAUAAAGACAUGAUGACUAAAUGUAACAUGGUGUCUUCCAUGGGAUCCUGAGACAGAAAAAGGACAUUAGUCCUAGCUACUCUGGAGGCUGAGGCAGGAGGAUCACUUGAGCCCAGGACUUUGAGGCCACUGUAAGCUAUGAUCAUGCCACUGCACUCCAGCUCAGGAAACAAACAGUAUUUGUUCAACAAACAAAAGAAAAUAAAAGAAUGGUAGACAAG